AUUGAACGCUGGCGGCAUGCCUUACACAUGCAAGUCGAACGGCAGCACGGGUGCUUGCACCUGGUGGCGAGUGGCGAACGGGUGAGUAAUACAUCGGAACAUGUCCUGUAGUGGGGGAUAGCCCGGCGAAAGCCGGAUUAAUACCGCAUACGAUCUACGGAUGAAAGCGGGGGACCUUCGGGCCUCGCGCUAUAGGGUUGGCCGAUGGCUGAUUAGCUAGUUGGUGGGGUAAAGGCCUACCAAGGCGACGAUCAGUAGCUGGUCUGAGAGGACGACCAGCCACACGGGGACUGAGACACGGCCCAGACUCCUACGGGAGGCAGCAGUGGGGAAUUUUGGACAUGGGCGAAAGCCUGAUCCAGCAAUGCCGCGUGUGUGAAGAAGGCCUUCGGGUUGUAAAGCACUUUUGUCCGGAAAGAAAUCCUUGGCCCUAAUACGGUCGGGGGAUGACGGUACCGGAAGAAUAAGCACCGGCUAACUACGUG
rnacentral:rRNA from 1 species